rnacentral:rRNA from 2 species
AGACCCGAAACCCGGUGAUCUAGCCAUGGGCAGGUUGAAGGUUGGGUAACACUAACUGGAGGACCGAACCGACUAAUGUUGAAAAAUUAGCGGAUGACCUGUGGCUGGGGGUGAAAGGCCAAUCAAACCGGGAGAUAGCUGGUUCUCCCCGAAAGCUAUUUAGGUAGCGCCUCGUGAAUUCAUCUCCGGGGGUAGAGCACUGUUUCGGCUAGGGGGCCAUCCCGGCUUACCAACCCGAUGCAAACUGCGAAUACCGGAGAAUGUUAUCACGGGAGACACACGGCGGGUGCUAACGUCCGUCGUGAAGAGGGAAACAACCCAGACCGCCAGCUAAGGUCCCAAAGUCAUGGUUAAGUGGGAAACGAUGUGGGAAGGCCCAGACAGCCAGGAUGUUGGCUUAGAAGCAGCCAUCAUUUAAAGAAAGCGUAAUAGCUCACUGGUCGAGUCGGCCUGCGCGGAAGAUGUAACGGGGCUAAACCAUGCACCGAAGCUGCGGCAGCGACGCUGAUGCGUUGUUGGGUAGGGGAGCGUUCUGUAAGCCUGUGAAGGUGGCCUGUGAGGGUUGCUGGAGGUAUCAGAAGUGCGAAUGCUGACAUAAGUAACGAUAAAGCGGGUGAAAAGCCCGCUCGCCGGAAGACCAAGGGUUCCUGUCCAACGUUAAUCGGGGCAGGGUGAGUCGACCCCUAAGGCGAGGCCGAAAGGCGUAGUCGAUGGGAAACGGGUUAAUAUUCCCGUACUUGGUGUUACUGCGAAGGGGGGACGGAGAAGGCUAUGUUGGCCGGGCGACGGUUGUCCCGGUUUAAGCGUGUAGGCGGGUGUUCCAGGUAAAUCCGGAACGCUGUUAAC